UGGGGUUGGUGGUAUUAUAAUUAUAGUUGCACAUACCAUAUGGACCACAAACAUUGUAUAUGCUACAAUUAUCACUUGGUGCAAACCAUAUUAUAUCAGACCUGCUAUAAAAUCUGAUUUGAGCCAAUGGAUGCAUCACUAAUCUCGUGUGAUUAUUAUGGAAGACGUAAUCUGUCGAAUAU